rnacentral:misc_RNA from 1 species
AACCAGUUUAUCAAUAUGGAGUAUCGUGGAAGAGGUAGAUUCCCUGGACAUGCAGCGAGAUUUCAGUACCCUCGCCCAGGCGGCCCUGCCCUCCUUCGACCAAGAGCCCCUGCAGUGCGUCCGUCCAGAGGGCUAUUAGCUGCGCCCCCAAGACCUAGUUUUGAAGCAUCGAGGGCUCCAAGACCACGACAGUUUACUCCCAGAGGUGCAUUCAAUACACCAUUCAGGGGUUUUAAAGCUACCCCAAUGAUUCCCCGCAGCGAGGUUGAAACACCUCCUACAGAUGUAAAAGGUGUGUCAGAUGGAGAAAACACUAAUUCAGGGCAAAUUAAAAGCAAGGACACAAGUUCUGAAAAACAGAUAAACAAGCCAUUUUCAACUUUAAGUUCUGAUAAAAAGGUUAUAAACAAGUCCGAUUCCAAUUCCAGUUCUCAGAAACCACUGAUUAAAAAUCCUGAUUCAAAUUCAGGUUCUGAUAAACAAUUGAUCACCAAGCCAAGUUUCAAUCCUAGUUCAUUUUAUGAAGAUAUAUCCAAUCAGGACUCCAACAUUAAUGAAUCAUCCAAUCAGGACUCCUUUUCUGAACAAACAACCAAUCAGAAUGAUUUUGACUUUCCAACGGAGUCAGCCAAUCAGAAUCCAUACUAUGAUGAAUCAGCCAAUCAGGAGCCAUUUUCUAAAGAUGUUGAAGAAACUCACCAGCAGUCAACUCAAGAGACCUUCCAUAGUCAAGAACAUGUUGUAGAAGAUGAAAAUUAUGGAGGAAAUGACUCAGGAGGAUGGGGAGGUCAGGGGAUGGAAGAAGGUGGAGGAGUGGAAGAAGAGGAAGAAAAUACAGGCUUUUGUCAUUAUUGUAAAAUGCCAUUUGAAAGUGAUGAGGUUAGUUGUUAACCCUUGAAGUUUAUAAACAGAAAUUGAAGUAGAAUUGUCAAUAAAAUUUGGAGGUUAUUCUAUUUCUUAAAAGUUAUGCUUUUGAUAAUGAGAUGUAAAAAAGGUGAGUUGAAGGGACACUCAAAAAGCUUUCACUGUGAAAUUGAGUUGCCAUAGCAUGUUCAUUCAAUGAAGGCACAUUAAGGGGCACCUUGCUCAACAAAAUACAUUCAUGGCUUUUUUUUUCAAUUUCAUUUCUUAUGCUCCACAAAAUAUUUUUUGAAAGUGAACCAUAUUGAGACAUUCAGAUGACACAGGUUUAUCUAUAAAACUGAAAUGCCUUGACUUCAGGGAAAAAUUUGAUUGGUUUCAGGCAUACUGGAAACACACAAGAGGCUUACUCCACACUCAGAAAGUAAUGGAGGCAGAAAAAGACAACAAUACAAGUCAAACAAUGGAUGAAGAAAAAGAUGAGGCAGUGACAUUUUCACCUGCAUCAACUACCAAAAUGGAAAAUUUGGCCUCAGAGAGGGACAUGGAGUAUUUGCGUCAGGUUGGAUUCAAUCCCAAACGAGGCGUAGGGAGGGGAAUUAAUCUAGGGGGGUACCAGUCACCGGCCAAGAGGGGUAAUUUUGAUCAAGGUCAUGGCAGAGGUCAUUUUGAUCAAGGUCAUGGCAGAGGACAGAGUCAAGGGCAGAAUUUCAGAGGUUCAUUUGGACAAGGGAGAGGCCAAGGUCACAAUAGGUAUGGUAUAAAUUUCAGCGAUGCAAACGCAAUAGAACUGGGCCAGAGAGGCAGACAGGAACAGGAAGUGGAGGGGUAUUCUGGGUACAAUGAGAGAGGAGGUGGCUUCCAGGAUUACGGCCGCCGGGAGGAAAACUACGGUCAGGGCAGGGCCUAUGACGACAGCAACAUGGAGGGAGGGGAAGGUCAGGAUGACUACAACUUUUACACAAGUAACUGGAUGGAGCCCCCCGAGAAAAUUCCAGCAAGCGAGAGGGACAUUGACCCAGAUACACUUGGAAAGCCUCAAUUCCCGAGUGACUUUUACUGCAAGGUCUGCGAUGUCAACUGCACAAGUCAGAAGAACUUUGAAAUGCAUGUUGAAGGAACCAAGCAUAGAAUGGUAGGUUGACAAGGAGAAGAAGAAGAAGACUCAGUUUUUCAUGUUAUUUGAAUUGUUAUUUUGUGUUUUUAUUCUGCAAAGAAUUUUUGGUAAUAAUGAAAGUGUGUGUGAUUGUUGAGAAAGAAGUGAAAGAGGGAAAAAUAUGAAAAAUAUUGAACAGAUUUUUAAAACACUUUGGAGAGAUUCUAUCAGCAUAAAAACUGUUAGCAAAUAAGGUUGUUUGCUUUCUGAAGUGUAAUUGUGCAACAAUUUAAAGGAUUUUUAAACAAAUAAAACCAUUUUAAAACAGCAGAAAUAUUGAUAAAUCCGAAAAUCGGAAAAAGACAGCAAUUAAAACUUUUGUUUGAAAUGGAAAUUCCUACCUUAAAAUCUAUAAAUUUGAAUUUUAUUACACUACAAAAUUUAAAUGUGAUAAAUACAGUUUCAAAUAUUUAAUAAAACAUAUAAAUGUGGAAUUCAUGUAUUACAUGAAUUCCACAUUGGUCAUUUUACAUACAAGAGUGAUAUUGUUUAUCAACCCCCCCCCCCCCCC